rnacentral:tRNA from 53 species
CGGGAAGUAGCUCAGCUUGGUAGAGCACUUGGUUUGGGACCAAGGGGUCGCAGGUUCGAAUCCUGUCUUCCCGAC